UAUAUGGUAUACCUUGAAAAUGAUUGUCCA
rnacentral:piRNA from 1 species